rnacentral:rRNA from 2 species
GCGAAACGGGAAUAGCCCAAACCAACAGGCUUGCCUGUUGGGGUUGUAGGACACUCAACACGGAGUUACAAAGGAAAUAAUUAGACGAAUGGCUUUGGAAAAGCCAACCAUAGAAGGUAAAAGUCCUGUAGUCGAAAGUUAUUUCUCUCCUGAGUGGAUCCUGAGUACGGCGGAACACGUGAAAUUCCGUCGGAAUCUGGGAGGACCAUCUCCCAAGGCUAAAUACUCUCUAGUGACCGAUAGUGAACCAGUACCGUGAGGGAAAGGUGAAAAGCACCCCGGAAGGGGAGUGAAAUAGAACCUGAAACCGUGUGCUUACAAAUAGUCAGAGCCCGUUAAUGGGUGAUGGCGUGCCUUUUGUAGAAUGAACCGGCGAGUUACGAUUUGAUGCAAGGUUAAGCAGUAAAUGUGGAGCCGUAGCGAAAGCGAGUCUGAAUAGGGCGAAUGAGUAUCUGGUCGUAGACCCGAAACCAAGUGAUCUACCCAUGUCCAGGUUGA